rnacentral:rRNA from 1 species
GACGAACGCUGGCGGCGCGCUUAACACAUGCAAGUCGAACGGAAAGGCCUGCUUUCCCUUGUGGAUUGCGGGUACUCGAGUGGCGAACGGGUGAGUAACACGUGAGUGAUCUGCCCCCAACUUGGGUAUAAGCCUGGGAAACUGGGUCUAAUUCCCGAUAGGACUGCAGGGUGGUGCCUGUGGUGGAAAACGAUUUUCUAGUGGUUGGGGAUGAGCUCGCGGCCUAUCAGCUUGUUGGUGGGGUAAUGGCCUACCAAGGCGGCGACGGGUAGCCGGCCUGGGAGGGUGGACGGCCACAUUGGGACUGAGAUACGGCCCAGACUCCUACGGGAGGCAGCAGUGGGGAAUAUUGCACAAUGGGCGGAAGCCUGAUGCAGCGACGCCGCGUGGGGGAUGACGGCCUUCGGGUGGUAAACUCCUUUCGACCGCGAGGAAGCCACCUGGUUGGAAGGGUGGUGACGGUAGUGGUAGAAGAAGCACCGGCUAACUACGCG